CGAAAGCCUGACGGAGCAACGCCGCGUGAGGGAUGAAGGCCUUUGGGCUGUAAACCUCUUUUCUCAAGGAAGAAGAUCUGACGGUACUUGAGGAAUAAGCCACGGCUAAUUCCGUGCCAGCAGCCGCGGUAAUACGGGAGUGGCAAGCGUUAUCCGGAAUUAUUGGGCGUAAAGCGUCCGCAGGCGGCCGUCUAAGUCUGUUGUUAAAUCGUGGAGCUUAACUCCAUCACGGCAAUGGAAACUGUUCGGCUUGAGUGUGGUAGGGGCAGAGGGAAUUUCCGGUGUAGCGGUGAAAUGCGUAGAUAUCGGGAAGAACACCAGUGGCGAAAGCGCUCUGCUAGGCCAUUACUGACGCUCAUGGACGAAAGCCAGGGGAGCGAAAGGGAUUAGAUACCCCUGUAGUCCUGGCCGUAAACGAUGAACACUAGAUGUUGGGGGAAUCGACCCCCUCGGUGUCGUAGCUAACGCGUUAAGUGUUCCGCCUGGGGAGUACGCACGCAAGUGUGAAACUCAAAGGAAUUGACGGGGGCCCGCACAAGCGGUGGAGUAUGUGGUUUAAUUCGAUGCAACGCGAAGAACCUUACCAAGGCUUGACAUCCUGCGAAUCUCCAAGAAACUGGAGAGUGCCUUCGGGAGCGCAGUGACAGGUGGUGCAUGGCUGUCGUCAGCUCGUGUCGUGAGAUGUUGGGUUAAGUCCCGCAACGAGCGCAACCCACGUUUUUAGUUGCCAGCAUUCAGUUGGGCACUCUAGAAAGACUGCCGGUGACAAACCGGAGGAAGGUGUGGACGACGUCAAGUCAUCAUGCCCCUUACGCCUUGGGCUACACACGUACUACAAUGCUGCGGACAAAGAGUAGCGAUCUUGCAAAAGUUAGCUAAUCUCAUAAACCGUGGCUCAGUUCAGAUCGUAGGCUGCAACUCGCCUACGUGAAGUAGGAAUCGCUAGUAAUCGCAGGUCAGCAUACUGCGGUGAAUACGUUCCCGGGCCUUGUACACACCGCCCGUCACACCAUGGAAGUUGGCCAUGCCCGAAGUCGUUACUCUAACCUUUUGGAAGAGGGCGCCGAAGGCAGGGCUAAUGACUGGGGUGAAGUCGUAACAAGGUAGCCGUAGCGGAAGCUGCGGCUGGAUCACCUCCUAA
rnacentral:rRNA from 1 species